CUGCCUGUAGCACAAUGGAUAAUGCGUCAGACUCCGACUCUGAAGAUUGCUGGUUCGAGUCCAGUCAGGCAGGCCA
rnacentral:tRNA from 1 species